rnacentral:rRNA from 1 species
ACACUCCUGCGGGAGGCAGCAGUGGGGAAUUUUGGACAAUGGGCGAAAGCCUGAUCCAGCAAUGCCGCGUGAGUGAAGAAGGCCUUCGGGUUGUAAAGCUCUUUUGUCAGGGAAGAAACGGUGAGAGCUAAUAUCUUUUGCUAAUGACGGUACCUGAAGAAUAAGCACCGGCUAACUACGUGCCAGCAGCCGCGGUAAUACGUAGGGUGCAAGCGUUAAUCGGAAUUACUGGGCGUAAAGCGUGCGCAGGCGGUUUUGUAAGUCUGAUGUGAAAUCCCCGGGCUCAACCUGGGAAUUGCAUUGGAGACUGCAAGGCUAGAAUCUGGCAGAGGGGGGUAGAAUUCCACGUGUAGCAGUGAAAUGCGUAGAUAUGUGGAGGAACACCGAUGGCGAAGGCAGCCCCCUGGGUCAAGAUUGACGCUCAUGCACGAAAGCGUGGGGAGCAAACAGGAUUAGAAACCCCUGUAGUCCC